GUCAUCAACUUUAAAAACCUAAGUCCUGGGC
rnacentral:piRNA from 1 species